rnacentral:misc_RNA from 1 species
UGGACAGGGUGCCCAGAAUCCGGGAAAACCGAGAAUAAUCAGAGAAUUUCGUCUAUUGGGCAAAGUCAGGGAAUUAUGAUGGAGAACGGUGAAAAACGUAAUUUUUUAUAAAUAGUUUUCAAUUUCAACUAUGCUUCGUAAAUUCAGCUAAGCUAACAUUCGGAAAUGAUAUUGUUCAAUUUGUAAUUAUUUAUGUGAAACGAAACCCCACUGUUCUUGAAUCCAAAUUUAUAUAUUUCAGGUGCAUAAUUUCUGGAGCUUUUGGUCAUAAAAGCCAACUAAAGUGACCUAAGGUUUAUAGAAAAAGAUCAGGGAAUUUUUAAUUUUUCGACGGGAAAAGUCAGGGAAAAGUCUAGAAUUUUAUUUGAGCAAAAUUGUCGCUACCCUGUUGGAGUUUAAAAAAUCAGUGUAGCGUGGUUGCAAAUUUCCUGAGACAUGCUUCUCGCACCUUAAGAUAUUCAUAAUGUCUUCUUUUUUAAUUCGUGGCUAUAUCCCCUUAGGGCAAGUGCUAAUGAUUUGUUGCUUCACAAAACUUUCACAAGAAUAUUGAAUACUCAGCAUGGACUACAGUUAAUCAAUUGCAAUGGCAUUAGACAAGAAUGCAAUAAUAUGGUUAUAGCUCCGAGUAUGAAUGCUGGACAUAAGGGAUAUAAGUCUACCUGCAUAAGAUUGUGUGGGACUUUGCUUAAUUAUUUUGAACAUUUUAAGUCGACAGUUUUCAACUUUCUCAAAGAACUCAAAUCACACUGAUUUGCAUGUGUAUAUAUACAUACAUAUAUCAGUGCCCGGGAUGCCUCGCGAAUCGUGCAUGAAACCAAUGUUAGAACUAUACAAUUUAUGGACAAAGCUGGAGACCCCCCACCUCCCGAGUUUUCAGACCUGUAAGUACGAUCGUGCUCUAGACUGAUCUGUACCAUCGGUGAAAAAGUAGUCUAUGCCUGGAAUAGCGUCCAGUAUGGCUGUCAAUGAUAAUUUACAAUAACGUGACUGUGUAACACUUAAUAUUCGUUCGAAAAAAGAUGAAUUGAUUGCAGCAAGUGAAAUCACUAUAAUCAAAGAAUACUUUGCUUUACUUUAUAGCAUUUCUGUAGACCGUUAAUUCAAAACUUCUGUGAAUGGUCGUAGCCUAACCUAGAUUAUAAACGUUAUAAGCCGCAUUUUGUGAAGUAUUUAAACAAAAUAACGUAUUUAUACAUUUUUUUACUUGGAUAUAAUUGAAAUGUCCGACGACGAGGACCUUGUUUAUGUAAAAAAGCAAAAAACUGUGCAUUAUGGAUCCCUUGAGGAAGCUGAACGUGCCCGGCUCACAGCUACAUCUGCAGAAUCUUCAGAUGAGGAAAGAGAUCAUAAUAGGAGUCCAUCAGAUACGCCAACAACUGCUGCUGCCCUGGGAAAUGUGCACAUAUCAAAUGAAUACAUGGAACUUGAAGAUGAGAUGUCUAAAGACAGGCAAGCUUUGCUCGAAGAAUUUGAGCGGAGAAAAAAAGCCAGGCAGAUUAAUGUUUCCACCGAUGAUUCGGAAGUGAAAAACAAUCUGCGCCAAUUAGGGGAACCAAUUUGUUUGUUUGGUGAAGGCCCAGCAGACAGAAGGUCCAGGUUGAGAGAAUUAUUGGCUAGCUUAGGUGAAGACGCUAUUAAAAAAAAACAUGAGGACGAGGAGCGGCCAUUGCAUCAGACAGAACGAGAUGCGGAAUCAACUUGGUACCACGAAGGACCAGAUUCCCUUCAAAUUGCCCGCUCGUGGAUAGCAUCGUAUUCACUUCCCAGGGCAAGAGAUCGGCUUGAAAAAUCUAGAGAAGAAUUAGAGCUUCCAGGGGCUACACGUACUGCACGUCGGCAGGAACUUCUGAAAAAAUUACAGGCUCUCAGCAUUUAUUGCUCCCAAAUUGGAGACAGCCGUCCCAUAUCAUUUUGCCAAUUCAGUCCGAAUUCAAAAUUACUGGCAACAUCUUCCUGGUCUGGGCUUUGCAAAAUUUGGUCUGUACCUGAAUGCUCAAUUGCCAGAACCCUCAGGGGCCAUACCUGUAAUGUAAGUUGUAUUGUUUUCCAUCCGAAUGCAACACUCACUGAAGACAUGCUGGGAGAAAAUGCGUCGCCUACAUGUGUUCUAGCAAGUUGUGCUUCAGACGGAAGUGUUAAGCUGUGGGGUGGAGGCAAAAGUGAAGAGCCGUUAGCAGAAGUUGAAGGUCAUGAGCCCCAUAGAGUAUCAAGGAUUGCAUUUCAUCCAUCGGGUCGCUUUUUAGGAACCUGUUGCCACGAUGCUUCUUGGCGACUGUGGGAUCUGGAACAACAAGCUGAAGUUUUGCAUCAAGAGGGUCAUGCCAAGGCAGUACAUUGUAUAAGUUUCCAAUGUGACGGCAGCGUUGUUGCUACGGGAGGCCAUGAUUCCUUUGGCAGAGUUUGGGACCUGAGAACAGGCCGCUGUAUCAUGUUUAUGGAGGGUCAUUUGAAAUCUAUUUUCGGAGUUGAUUUUUCGCCUAAUGGUUUUCACCUGGCUACUGCAAGCGAGGAUAAUUCGUGCAAAAUAUGGGAUUUACGAAAAAGAUCGUGUAUUUACACUAUACCGGCACACACCAAUUUAUUAUCAGACGUGAAGUAUCAGCGUACUGAAGGGCAGUAUUUGGUCACGGCGUCGUAUGACAAUACUGCGAAAAUUUGGUCCAACAAAACGUGGCAACCGUUGAAGACAUUGCCAGGACAUGAUGGCAAAGUAAUGUGCUGCGACGUUUCUCCUGACCACAAAUUUAUAGUCACAAGCUCAUAUGAUAGAACAUUUAAGCUCUGGGCACCUGAAAACAUGUGAAAUAAAAAGAAAAUAUUUGCUAUAAAUCCUGUAAAUGCCCAUUGUCUUUAGUGAAAAUUUUCAGUGACUGUUUCUCCUGUUGUAAGUAGAAUCGACUGAACAGAGAGACACGGGUUACCAUGUUGAGGAAAUUAAAUCUAUGACUGUUGAAAAUUCAUGAUAAAACAUUGUUUUAUCGUUGUACUGCUGUACGGGUAACAAUGUUUGUGGUGUAUUCUGUAUGAUUUGCAGUAUCAAACGAUGUGAGUUGCAGGCGAUCAAACGUGCACGACAGAGGAUAGAAGGCAGGCUUAAUUGCAGGCAACCUCAGCUAGAAGCUGGUGACAUGCGUCAUUUUUAACAACAAAAACGUGCGAUUUUCUCAGAAACAUCUAUAAUCAAUCCAUUUGUAUAACGCCGAAUCAGCUUAAUUUGGCCGAAUGAAAUUAAUACAAAUAAACACCUAUAUUUAUCUUUCAGA